GGGCGUGUAGCUCAGUGGUAGAGCGCUCGCUUUGCACGAACUGGAAAUCUGCGAGAGGUCUAGGGUUCGAUCCCCUACCCGUCCA